rnacentral:rRNA from 1 species
UAGGGAAUCUUCCGCAAUGGACGAAAGUCUGACGGAGCAACGCCGCGUGAGUGAAGAAGGAUUUCGGUUCGUAAAACUCUGUUGUUAGGGAAGAAAAAAUGUAUAGUAACUAUAUACAAAAGAGACGGUACCUAACCAGAAAGCCACGGCUAACUACGUGCCAGCAGCCGCGGUAAUAAGUAGGUGGCAAGCGUUGUCCGGAAUUAUUGGGCGUAAAGCGCGCGCAGGUGGUUUAGAAAGUCUGAUGUGAAAGCCCACGGCUCAACCGUGGAGGGUCAUUGGAAACUAAUAAACUUGAGUGCAGGAGAGAAAAGUGGAAUUCCUAGUGUAGCGGUGAAAUGCGUAGAGAUUAGGAGAAACACCGGUGGCGAAAGCGGCUUUUUGGCCUGCAACUGACACUGAGGCGCGAAAGCGUGGGGAGCAAACAGG